rnacentral:rRNA from 1 species
CUGCGAAAAGGUUCGGGGAGAAGCAAAUAUUUUGUGAUCCGAACAUAUCCGAAUGGGGAAACCUGUCAUACUGAAGGUAUGACGUCGAAAGACGCAAACUUGCUGAACUGAAACAUCUAAGUAGGCAAAGGAAGAGAAAACAAUAGUGAUUUCCGUAGUAGCGGCGAGCGAAGUGGAAAUAGCCCAAACCAGUUUUGUUUCGGCAAGACUGGGGUUGUAGGACUGAAUACGUUAAAUGAAUUGUUAGUGGAACUAGUUGGAAAUCUAGGCGAUAUGGGUGAUAGCCCCGUACACGAAAACGAUUUAUUUGGCAUCAGUAUCCUGAGUAGGGCGGGACAUGUGAAAUCCUGUCUGAAUCUGCCAGAACCAUCUGGUAAGGCUAAAUACUCUUGAGAGACCGAUAGCGAACUAGUACCGUGAGGGAAAGGUGAAAA